GCCCACGUAGGCCAUCGGCGAGCCGAUUCAGGAUCGAGUGUCUGGGAGUUCGACUCUCCCCGUGGGUA
rnacentral:tRNA from 1 species